GAAAUGCGAUAAUUAAUGUGAAUUGCAGAAUUCAGUGAAUCAUCGAGUCUUUGAACGCACAUUGCGCCCCCUGGUAUUCCGGGGGGCAUGCCUGUCCGAGCGUCAUUGCUGCCCUCAAGCACGGCUUGUGUGUUGGGCUUCCGUCCCUGGCAACGGGGACGGGCCCAAAAGGCAGUGGCGGCACCAUGUCUGGUCUUCGAGCGUAUGGGGCUUUGUCACCCGCUCCCGUAGGUCCAGCUGGCAGCUAGCCUCGCAACCAAUCUUUUUAACCAGGUUGACCUCGGAUCAGGUAGGGAUACCCGCUGAACUUAAGC
rnacentral:misc_RNA from 1 species